UACAGAGGUCCCAAGCGUUGUUCGGAUUCAUUGGGCGUAAAGGGUGCGUAGGCGGCGAGGUAAGUCAGGUGUGAAAUCCCGGAGCUUAACUCCGGAACUGCACUUGAUACUGCCUUGCUCGAGUACUGGAGAGGAGACUGGAAUUUACGGUGUAGCAGUGAAAUGCGUAGAUAUCUAGAGGAAUACCAAAGGCGUAGGCAGGUCACUGGACAGUUACUGACACUGAGGCACGAAGGCCAGGGGAGCGAACGGG
rnacentral:rRNA from 1 species